rnacentral:rRNA from 1 species
UACGUAGGGUGCGAGCGUUUAAUCGGAAUUACUGGGCGUAAAGCGUGCGCGAGGCGGUUCGUUGUGUCGGCGGUGAAAGCCCCGGGCUUAACCUGGGAAUGGCCGUCGAAACUGGCGAACUGGAGUGUGGCAGAGGGGGGUGGAAUUCCGCGUGUAGCAGUGAAAUGCGUAGAGAUGCGGAGGAACACCGAUGGCGAAGGCAGCCCCCCUGGGCUGACACUGACGCUCAGGCACGAAAGCGUGGGGAGCAACAGG